GGCCCAGUGGCCUAAUGGAUAAGGCAUCUGCCUUCUUAAGCUAUGGAUUGUUGGUUCAAGUCCCAUCUGGGUUG
rnacentral:tRNA from 1 species